rnacentral:rRNA from 1 species
UACGGGGGGGGCAAGCGUUGUUCGGAAUUACUGGGCGUAAAGGGCUCGUAGGUGGCCAACUAAGUCAGACGUGAAAUCCCUCGGCUUAACCGGGGAACUGCGUCUGAUACUGGAUGGCUUGAGUUCGGGAGAGGGAUGCGGAAUUCCAGGUGUAGCGGUGAAAUGCGUAGAUAUCUGGAGGAACACCGGUAGCGAAGGCGGGUCUCUGGGCAACAACUGACGCUGAGGAGCGAAAGCGUGGGGAGCGAACAGG